rnacentral:lncRNA from 10 species
CAGGAGAGCAGCCACCCAGCAAGUGGAGGGACAGGAUCCAGCCCUGUCUUGGGGACCUAGGACUCUCAAUAAAGGAAGAAGACCCACAAGGAGAGUUUAGACCGGGACUGUGGAGCCCAGAAGGAGAACGUGUCUAUGGUGGAGUGAGGCAGAGUGCAGAGAGCGCAUGGAGGGAUUCCAGGAUGGCCAAGUGGUCACGCAGCCCUGGGCCCAGCCUGGGGGUUCAGGACAAAUCCUGCCACAUAAAGCAGCAGCCACUGGCCACAGUCUUGCACCCUCAGUGCCAAUGUCUGAAAAAUCUGGAUCCCACCAGGAAACAGACUUCCCUGUGCAGAGCAGCACUUAGCAUGGCAGCAUCCCCAAGGGUCCCCACAGGUUCAAGACCUCCCUGGAGGGCCCCUGGAGAGCCCCAGGAUAAUGGUGACUCUCCAAAGGGGGGCAAAAAAAGGAAUUAUUUAUCCCCCACCAUAGCCCCUUAAAAGAUGGCUAUUAAAAUGGAAAUGUAAAAUAAAUCAGAGUGAAGAACAGGAAGGAAUAAAUGUGUAGCCAUAAAACUUAACAGUUACUGUGACCUGAGCAGGCAGUCCAUUUCCUUCAGUCUUUGCAAACCCAGGCUUUUGGCAAACAUAAUAGGCUUCCUUUUGUUCUUCAAAGGACAGCCUGACAUGAAAUUCUAAAGUAAAUCCACCAUGUGGAGCCUUAUACAAGAAAUACUAUGUGGUAUUAUGGACAAUGCCCCAAGAAGGAUGGGUUUCAACAUAAACCCAGAAGUAUCCUAUGUGUCCCUGCUGUUAGCUGUCCUCAGUGCAGUGAUCCCAGGACUAGGCCCCUUGACUUGGGAAUAUCGUAAAUCAAAUUCUUACCCUGAGCCCACACUGGCACCUGCCCUGGGGCGGGGGGUGGCGGGGAGGAGGGAAAAACCUAUGGCUUGGCUGAGCCAGCCUCCUGGACCAGAGAAGAGUAAACUCAAGGCUGGGAAAGUAUUUCUUUAUAUAAGCUUAGUGCUUUCUAUGUUGUUUACCCUUCAACUACAUUAAAUAGCACAAACAAAAACUUUCCAGUCAAAUUAAAAACAGAACAGGAGCUGAAGGCAAAAGUAUAUCACAGCUGGAUUGAAAGAAUGCUAAGCCCUGAGCAUUUUGAUCAGAAAUCACAGUAUCAGAUUCCAGUGGGUUUUAUGUCAGAGAUACCCAUGACCUGAGCCAGCUCUCAGAAUUGUAAGUAGCUGCCUUUUGGGUUAAUGGAAAGCCAGAGCUAUUUGUGAUGGCCAAUAACAAUACUGAACCCCAUCACCUGUGUUUAUCAUUGGGCUGUAAAGAGGUCGGC